rnacentral:rRNA from 1 species
AUACGGAGAAGGCGAGCGUUAUCCGGAUUGAUUGGGUUUAAAGGGUGCGUAGGCGGAUGUUUAAGUCAGUUGUGAAAUUCUCCGGCUCAACCUUGGACUUGCCAUUGAUACUGGACGUCUUGAGUGCAGUAAAGGAAGGCGGAAUUCGUAGUGUAGCGGUGAAAUGCUUAGAUAUUAGGAAGAACACCAGUGGCGAAGGCAGCUUGCUGGACUGUAACUGACGCUGAUGCACGAAAGCGUGGGGAUCGAACAGGAUUAGAUACCCUGGUAGUCCACGCCGUAAACGAUGAAUGCUCGCUGUUGGCGAUAUACAGUCCGCGGCGAAGCUAAAGCAUUAAGUAUUCCGCCUGGGGAGUACGGCCGCAAGGUUGA